CCUACGGGAGGCAGCAGUGGGGAAUAUUGCACAAUGGGGGAAACCCUGAUGCAGCGACGCCGCGUGAGUGAAGAAGUAUUUCGGUAUGUAAAGCUCUAUCAGCAGGGAAGAACAUGACGGUACCUGAUUAAGAAGCCCCGGCUAACUACGGGCCAGCAGCCGCGGUAAUACGUAGGGGGCAAGCGUUAUCCGGAUUUACUGGGUGUAAAGGGAGCGUAGACGGCAGCACAAGUCUGGAGUGAAAUGCCUGGGCUUAACCCCGGAACUGCUUUUGAAACUGGGCAGCUAGAGUGCAGGAGAGGUAAGUGGAAUUCCUAGUGUAGCGGUGAAAUGCGUAGAUAUUAGGAGGAACACCAGUGGCGAAGGCGGCUUACUGGACUGUAACUGACGUUGAGGCUCGAAAGCGUGGGGAGCAAACAGGAUUAGAUACCCGUGUAGUC
rnacentral:rRNA from 1 species